rnacentral:misc_RNA from 1 species
GUGAAUCAUCAAAUUUUUGAACGCAAAUUGCACUCUCCUCGGAGAGUAUGCCUGUUUGAGGGUCAGCCUAAAAAAAAAUCGACAUCGUUGCUAUUCCGCGGUGCCGUUCGUCGGAAAUUGGGUUAUGUUAAACCUUUUGUUUUAAGCGACUUAAAAUUUUCAUUUUGAUUCCUUGUACGGUUCUAAGAUUUAUUUCUUUACACGUUUACGGUAUCGAUUUUUAUUAGAUGUGGCCGGCAUAUCGGAUCGGGUCCAUAAUUUUUCACCAACUUCCAUCACUCG